CCUACGGGUGGCAGCAGUGAGGAAUAUUGGUCACUGGGCGUGAGCCUGAACCAGCCAAGUCGCGUGAGGGACGACGGUCCUAUGGAUUGUACACCUCUUUUGUCGGGGAACAAAGGCGCCCACGGGUGGUCGGAUGAGUGUACCCGAAGAAAAAGCACCGGCUAAAUCCGUGCCAGCAGCCGCGGUAAUACGGAGGAUGCGAGCGUUAUCCGUAUUUAUUGGGUUUAAGGGGUGCGUAGGCGGACGGUCAAGUCAGCGGUAAAAAUGCGGUGCUAAACGCCGUACAGCCGUGGAAACUGGCAGUCUUGAGUGGGCGAGAAGUAUGCGGAAUGCGUGGGGUAGCGGUGAAAUGCAUAGAUAUCACGCAGAACUCCGAUUGCGAAGGCAGCAUACCGGCGCCCUACUGACGCUGAGGCACGAAAGCGUGGGUAUCGAACAGGAUUAGAUACCCGGGUAGUC
rnacentral:rRNA from 1 species